ensembl:snRNA U2 U2 spliceosomal RNA
AUUGCUUCUCGGCCUUUUGGCUAAGAUCAAGUCUAUCUGUUCUUAUCAGUUUAAUAUCUGAUAAAAAAAUAAAAAUAAAAAAAAAUCUUGAACCUAUAUAACCCAUAUGGCUCUUUGUAGCUUUGCUUAUUUAAAGCUAAUGUAUUUGCUCUUACUACUUACUUACUUACUUACU